rnacentral:rRNA from 1 species
GACGAACGCUGGCGGCGUGCCUAAUACAUGCAAGUAGAACGCUGAAGGAGGAGCUUGCUCUUCUGGAUGAGUUGCGAACGGGUGAGUAACGAGUAGGUAACCUGCCUGGUAGCGGGGGAUAACUAUUGGAAACGAUAGCUAAUAACGCAUAACAGUAGAUGUUGCAUGACAUUUGCUUAAAAGGUGCAAUUGCACCACUACCAGAUGGACCUGCGUUGUAUUAGCUAGUUGGUGGGGUAACGGCUCACCAAGGCGACGAUACAUAGCCGACCUGAGAGGGGGAUCGGCCACACUGGGACUGAGACACGGCCCAGACUCCUACGGGAGGCAGCAGUAGGGAAUCUUCGGCAAUGGACGGAAGUCUGACCGAGCAACGCCGCGUGAGUGAAGAAGGUUUUCGGAUCGUAAAGCUCUGUUGUAAGAGAAGAACGAGUGUGAGAGUGGAAAGUUCACACUGUGACGGUAUCUUACCAGAAAGGGACGGCUAACUACGUG